CCGAACCGACUAAUGUUGAAAAAUUAGCGGAUGACCUGUGGCUGGGGGUGAAAGGCCAAUCAAACCGGGAGAUAGCUGGUUCUCCCCGAAAGCUAUUUAGGUAGCGCCUCGUGAAUUCAUCUCCGGGGGUAGAGCACUGUUUCGGCUAGGGGGCCAUCCCGGCUUACCAACCCGAUGCAAACUGCGAAUACCGGAGAAUGUUAUCACGGGAGACACACGGCGGGUGCUAACGUCCGUCGUGAAGAGGGAAACAACCCAGACCGCCAGCUAAGGUCCCAAAGUCAUGGUUAAGUGGGAAACGAUGUGGGAAGGCCCAGACAGCCAGGAUGUUGGCUUAGAAGCAGCCAUCAUUUAAAGAAAGCGUAAUAGCUCACUGGUCGAGUCGGCCUGCGCGGAAGAUGUAACGGGGCUAAACCAUGCACCGAAGCUGCGGCAGCGACACUGUGUGUUGUUGGGUAG
rnacentral:rRNA from 2 species